rnacentral:lncRNA from 1 species
GCAGGAAGAGGCAUUGGCCCAGUUCCAGAUAUAAGGCUGAAAAAGCCUUCAUUAAAAGCAACGAAGGAAACCACAUCAUCACAUUAUCACAUGCAUCCUAUGAUAUUUUAUUCCUAUCUUUAAUCAUUCCAACCCAAGACUAUAUUGUAUAUAAAUCAAGGGGGACAGGUAUCGUGGUUCUGGUACAAAGUAAGACAGAUCUUAAGGUUUGCUACAGCAAGAAAAACCCGUGCUUUCUCAAGUAGGGACACUGCCCUGCAAAAUGCCCAUCCUCUUCACCGACAGACAAAAAGGUUUACACUUUGGAUGGGGUCUCUGCUCACAGUUUUACUACUAGAGCAAUGAUGAACAAACAAAAAAGAUAAGAAUUUUAUUUUCACAACCUGCAAGCCAUCAGAAGAUGCCUACUCUAAAAAGAUAAGUUGUCUAUUAUUAUUUCUAUCAUGAUUCAUUUUGUCUGCCAGGUGAAGAGACAGAGAGGAAAGCAGAAAGAAAAGCAAAAGCAACGCACCAACGAUCUGCAACUGUCGAAGCUUUUGUGUCGAAACCUUUGUUUUGAAUGAUGUAAUUUAUUUUUUGUAUUUGUCAGAAACAUCUGUAUAAACCCCAUCAGAGGGUAAAAAAAAAAAAAUGGUGAAGCCCAAAAUAGCUCCAACCAGGUGAUCAAAAGUAUGCCCAGUACUCCAUAAUUAUUCGACAACCUGCUGAUAUUACCACCAACCAGGUGAUCAAAAAUACGCUCAGUACUCCAAAAUUAUCUGGCAACCUGCCGCUAUUACCACCAACCAGGUGAUGAAAAGUACAACCCGUACUUUAAAUAUCAUUUGGCAACUAGCCAUUCAUGCCACCAACCAAGUGUAAAAAAAGAACAAUCCGUACUCUAAUAUCAUUUGGCAACUAGCCAUUCAUGCCACCAACCAGGUGAUGAAAAGUACAACCCAUACUCUAAAUAUCAUUUGGCAACUAGCCAUUCAUGCCACCAACCAGGUGAUGAAAUGUACAACCCGUACUUUCCUUCAUGCCACCAACCAGGUGAUCAAAAGUAGGCCCAGUACUCUAAAUCAUACAUGAGCAUUACUCAUGUCAUUCAUACAUAAACAUUCAUGAGCAUCACUCAUGACAAUCAUACAUAAACAUUCAUGACAAUCAUACAUAAACAUUCAUGACCAUCAUUCAUGUCAACAUUCAUGACCAUCACUGAUGACAACAUUCAUGAGCAUCACUCAUGACAACAUCCAUGAGCAUUACUCAUGUCAAUCAGCUUCAAAAGCUUCAUUUACAGAGCUCUAGCUUCAAAAGCUUCAUUUACAAAAGCUCCAGCUUCGAAAGCUUCAUUUACAAAGCUCUAGCUUUAAAGCUUCACUGAUAGGAGCAUAUUUAUGCGACUUAGUUAGCUUGUUCUUGUGCAUUUACGUUGUAUUUCCUUAGUUAUUUUAUUGUUCAAAGUUAUUUUUGUGUGUUUUCAGACUCUAAGUACAAAGUAUGCAAGAUGAUGCAUUUUGGAGGCCUUUGGAGCAUGUUUCGGGCUUGAAAUGGAUAGCAAAUGCAUGGGCCAAGUGGAUGAACGAAUUUGAGAACUAAAGAGGCCAAGAAUAUGAAGAAUUAUGGUCCAAAAGAUGAAGAAAACAGCCCAAAAAUCUGUCACCCCAACUUGCAUUCCUUGCCAUGCAAACCACAUAGAAUUCCCUUUGGAUUCCAUGCCAUGCUUGAUCACUCUUGUCCCCUACAUAAUUUCUAAUUUCAUGCUUCAAUUCAUUUAAUUAUUACACUCAAUUGCUUGAUACCUCUUGUUCCCUUCACUCAUUAGAUUUUAGACAACAUUUACAUCCAUUACAUGCACCAAUUGAUGCUCCAUGAUUCACAUUUGGAAUCCAAUGCCAUGUGCAACACAUGUUGUUGCACCUUUGACCCAUUUGUUGACACAUUUCACCUCCAUUUCCAUCUCUAUGCAAUGUACACAAUCAUUCAUGCUCCCUAGCUACAACACCACUCCAUUUUACCCUUCACA